GACAGAGGAUGCAAGCGUUAUCCGGAAUGAUUGGGCGUAAAGCGUCUGUAGGUGGCUUUUUAAGUCUGCCGUCAAAUCCCAGGGCUUAACCCUGGACAGGCGGUGGAAACUACCAAGCUGGAGUACGGUAGGGGCAGAGGGAAUUUCCGGUGGAGCGGGUGAAAUGCGUAGAGAUCGGAAAGAACACCAACGGCGAAGGCACUCUGCUGGGCCGACACUGACACUGAGAGACGAAAGCUAGGGGAGCAAAUGGG
rnacentral:rRNA from 1 species